GUGCACAACAUUUGAGCUUUGAAACAUGCAUAUGGAACAUUUCUGAUAUAUUUUAUUUCAGCUCAUGAAACAUGGGACCAACACUUUACAUGUUGCCUUUAUAUUUUUGUUCAGUGACACUUUCAAGUUAAACAUAACUUUGCAACUAUUAUUUAUUCACACAUUCAAUAAGUAAGUAGCGUUGCACGAGCCUUGGCUUGUGAGAGGUCAGAACAGCUCAUAGGAUCUAUGCUCCUGCUCCUGUUUCUGUAGAGGCAGCUUGAUGAGAGAGCUUGUGAGAGGUCAGAACAGCUCAUAGGAUCUAUGCUCCUGUUUCUGUAGAGGCAGCUUGAUGAGAGAGCUUGUGAGAGGUCAGAACAGCUCAUAGGAUCUAUGCUCCUGUUUCUGUAGAGGCAGCUUGAUGAGAGAGCUUGUGAGAGGUCAGAACAGCUCAUAGGAUCUAUGCUCCUGUUUCUGUUUCUGUAGAGGCAGCUUGAUGAGAGAGCUUGUGAGAGGUCAGAACAGCUCAUAGGAUCUAUGCUCCUGUUUCUGUUUCUGUAGAGGCAGCUUGAUGAGAGAGCUUGUGAGAGGCCAGAACAGCUCAUAGGAUCUCUGCUCCUGUUUCUGUAGAGGCAGCUUGAUGAGAGAGCUUGUGAGAGGCCAGAACAGCUCAUAGGAUCUAUGCUCCUGUUUCUGUAGAGGCAGCUUGAUGAGAGAGCUUGUGAGAGGUCAGAA